GCAAAUAAACAGAGGCACAGAGAUACAGAAUCAUACAGGUCCGGUUUAAAAAAUCGCAGUAGAAAGUCCCAUUUGUUUGCUAUCUCAUGGCUGGCUAUGAAGAAGAGAUGUUUUGGAAUUGGCUAAACAAUAAGACUUUUGUGAGAAUGUGAGGGGUGUGUAUAUAGAGUUACUAUGAGAAGAUGGCCUGUCAGUCAGAGAACCAGAAAGGGACAUUCUACAAUGUGAUGAGUGUAAUGGCUUCCAGUUGCAGAUUGGUGACUGCUAGAGGUCAAAAUGGCUGUGUGACCUUGAAAUAAAGGAAAUGUCACUAGUAGCAGGAAAUGAAAGCACAAAAAUAAAUUCAUAUUAAUGA